rnacentral:rRNA from 1 species
AGCGCGAGCGCUGCUGCUGCGGGGCCGGAACGGCUGCUCGACGGCGGACUCUCCAGCGGGACCGCGAGGGCCCCGAGGCGGCGGCCCGCGCCUGUGCGCCGCAAAGCCGGAGGAGUGGUGGGUGUCUGGGACGGCGCGGCAGCUUCGGCAUCGACUGCCGCGGCGCAAGAGGAGCCGCUCACGCCGGAGCCAUAGAUGAAGACGGAGGCCCCGGUCGGCACGGACUCGAAGGCGAGCGCGUGACAGGCGGCGACCUCGACGACCGCAGAGGUCGGAGAUGGCAGCGGCGCGGCCUCGUGCUCGUCGUGUCGUCGUCAAGGACGACGAUGUCGUUCCCCGGCGCCGCGCUCAACCGUCGCGUGCUCCGCGUUGGGAGCCGCCACCGGCCCGGACUUCAGCAGGCCACUGAGCCAUGGUCGCGCGCAGAAGGGCGCCGCUGAGCCGCGUGCUAGAUGGAGCGCUCGCACUGCUUGCAGGCUGUAAGUCGUCCGUGCCGUGGAUGCGAACAGAGGCUGCUGCCUCCGGUCUUGGACAUGAGACCGCAUCAUCGACAACAUCAUUCACCGUUUGAGUACCUGUGAAGAAAUCCACAGGAAGAGGUGUCGAGAGAGUCGCCGCGCCGGGGCUGUGGUCGCCUCGGGCUGGUGCAGGAGGUCGAGGCUGCGGGGUCACUCGGCGGCUGAAGACAUGCGCCGCCGCGCCGCUCUGCAGGGUGAGGCCUGCUCGCAUCAUACGGCGGAGGGCUUGUCCUGCCGCCAGUUGCCGAGGACGACGCUCCGUCGGAGAGCGUGCUGAUAACGUGUGAAGGAUCGAUUGUAAACGAACAAAAGAGUCGAACAAAUGAAUCGAUAAGAUACUUUUCCAUUGCCCCCUCAAAAAAAUAAUAUUUUUCCAUUGAUGA